AUAAAAAAAUCAAUAAUUCAUCAUUUACACCACUUAAUUCAAUAUGAAAGCUUUAUCGGUUAGACAUCACUGGUGAAAUAGAAUCUUAAAUUUGUUGUCAAUACAUGCAGCUACCCUGACUUGCCGUGUUCUGGCCGAAACGUCAAUGACCAAAAUUUGAAUGUCGAACAUAACCUGUAAGAAAGUGAGAGUGACAUGUUUACUUUUGAACAAUUUAUAAUAAAUUUUUAUUGUAUUUGUAUUCUUUUCAUAAAAUAUAGGAAAUAAAUUAAUAGAAUUAGUUCUUAAAUUUCCUAGUACACUUCCAAUCAUAAGAAUGGAUGAGGACAAAUAGCUAAGAAGUUUUUCAUCACACAAGACAUUCCCUGACUGCUGCCUGCUAGACAAUAUACUGAGUGAAUUGAAGAAUUGUGGAGAUUCAACAAUGAAGACAUGAAAUUGUAAUAGUGCGACAAGUUAUCUGUGUACCAAAUUAAGAAUUAAUUUAAUAGUCAUAGUUAUUACUCUUUUAUGCCAUACAGUGCAUACAUUUUAUACCUCAUUUAUUCAGAAUAAAUGGUUAAAUUAGA